rnacentral:rRNA from 1 species
CUAGUACGAGAGGACCGGGAAGGACGCACCUCUGGUGUACCAGUUAUCGUGCCUACGAUAAAUGCUGGGUAGCCAACUGCGGAGAGGAUAACUGCUGAAAGCAUAUAAGUAGUAAGCCCACCCCAAGAUGAGUGUUCUCUCCUCCGACUUCCCUAGAGCCUCUGAUAUCACAACCGAGACAACGACGGGUUCUCCACCCAU